rnacentral:lncRNA from 1 species
CUUCUCUCUGCUACCUUCAUUCUCUCUCUCACCUUUGCUCUUCACUUCUCAUCCCUUCCUCAUCCCGUUUAAACAGUAGAUUCCUUCCGGCAGCGGUAUUUGCGUGAUUUCGAAGGACAGAUCUCAUAUCACAGAAGCAAAAUGGCCCCCAGGAGGUUCCAUGGACUCGUAUUUCUCAUCAUUUAGAAGGAGAAAGCACCUCUUCUCAAUUCCUCUCUUCAGGACUCCCAGUACCUCUGCUUCUGGCGACAGCCCAUGACAAGUGGGGACGAUGUGCAGAUAGAAAGAAUGAGAAGGGCAGGGCAAUCUUUAAAGGCAGUAAGGUGUGACGCUCCAGACUGGCAGCUUGGCAAGACGGAGCCCAUGGAUACCAACACACGGGAAUCUGGACGACUCACUCUGACAGCAGUCAGCACUGGGAACAAAAGGAAUGGAGGGGAAAAAAGCGCAAAUGUAUUUUUACAUAUUGUAGGCAUAUGGCCACAAGACCAGCAGAAAUAUAUUUAAUUGCCAAUUGCAUGCAUUGAGGAGAAAAACAUUGGAGAUGGGGGGAAAAUACACAGCAGUAUUAUUCUAAUUUAACUUUUCACCUCAGUUUUUCUCUUUUUUUAAAUUGAAGAUGGAAGGGAAUGUGGCUUGGAAUUGCAAAGGGUUAUCUCUUGGAAGCCUAUCAAAGGUGGUGUGGGAUUUUGAUAUGCCUCUUAACAGCCAAAUAUUAUAGAAAAAU